CGGGGGGAGCAAGCGUUGUUCGGAUUUACUGGGCGUAAAGGGCGCGUAGGCGGCGCAACAAGUCACUUGUGAAAUCUCCGGGCUUAACUCGGAGCGGCCAAGUGAUACUGUCGUGCUAGAGUGCGGAAGGGGCAACUGGAAUUCUCGGUGUAGCGGUGAAAUGCGUAGAUAUCGAGAGGAACACCUGCGACGAAGGCGGGUUGCUGGGCCGACACUGACGCUGAGGCGCGAAAGCCAGGGGAGCGAACGGGAUUAGAUACCCCGGUAGUCCUGGCCUUAAACGAUGGAUGCUUGGUGUCCGGGGUUACAUAGUCCCCGGGUGCCGUCGCUAACGCCUUAAGCAUCCCGCCUGGGGAGUACGCACGCAAGUGUG
rnacentral:rRNA from 1 species